CGAUGUAGAGAAAAGGCGGUGGAGUUUUCCGAGUGUCUUUUGAAUUUCGCCCAACCAACUAAUCCGGCUAAACGAGGCUCAGGCUCGGGACUCAUCUCGUUCCGCCUUCACAAAACCCUCGUGUUAGCUUUAAAAGUAUCUUCGCCCUCGUUCCCUCUUCUAUCUUGGUAUCGGAGUUCGUAGAAAUGGCAAUGCACAUAGGGGGUACGGAUCCGAACGGUGACUCCUGGUGGAGAAGAUGAAGAUCGCCAAGCAGCUUCACGGUGACUGUUCGUCGUCGUACUCCGAUUUCGGGAAGAAGAAGAGCCCGCUUCGUCCUUGUCGUCGUUGAAAUCUAAGAUCUACGGGUCGCUCGUUGGAGGAAAUCCCAUUCAGAAGGUUUUUGUUGGAGGAAAACUAGCUGCAGCUGCUGACAUUCUUAUGGAGGAAUAAGAAGAUUUGUACUGGUAUUUUUGUGCUCAAGUACAAACCUUACUUCACUGUGUCAUGCAUUAAUAGCGUCUCUUGCAAUGGGCAAAUGUUCCAACAUUUAUCAACAAGUCUGAAGAUUUUGUGCCGAUAAAGAAAAUGAGAAACCAAGUGUUUUUUUAACUGAAGUGGAGAGUAUUAACAUGCAAUGAAUUUGUAGAGCUGCUGCUCCUGUUGCAGACGUUUCUUGAAAUCUCCAUGCUGUUGUGACAUUUCCCAAUCGAUGAUUGCUGGCUUGUGGUUGUGGGUUAUGUCGAUUUUAGAAAGGGGACAACAUUUGAUUUAUUUGUAUAGAAAGAAAUGAACGAGUUUACAAUGAAAUUCAGCUUCUUAGCCACAAGACUCGAUGCAGUCUUUAAAGGAAUGAAAAAGGCUAAGAAGCUGAAUUUCAUUGUAAAUCCGAACUGUUACUGAAUUACUAAUGCUUUUUAUUUUCAUUUUACUGAAGUGAUGAUUAUGUAAAUUCUAAAGCUUUUUCAAUCA